rnacentral:rRNA from 1 species
GACGAACGCUGGCGGCGUGCCUAAUACAUGCAAGUAGAACGCACAGUUUAUACCGUAGCUUGCUACACCAUAGACUGUGAGUUGCGAACGGGUGAGUAACGCGUAGGUAACCUGCCUGGUAGCGGGGGAUAACUAUUGGAAACGAUAGCUAAUACCGCAUAAUAUUGAUUAUUGCAUGAUAAUUAAUUGAAAGGUGCAAUUGCACCACUACCAGAUGGACCUGCGUUGUAUUAGCUAGUAGGUGAGGUAACGGCUCACCUAGGCGACGAUACAUAGCCGACCUGAGAGGGUGAUCGGCCACACUGGGACGGAGACACGGCCCAGACUCCUACGGGAGGCAGCAGUAGGGAAUCUUCGGCAAUGGACGAAAGUCUGACCGAGCAACGCCGCGUGAGUGAAGAAGGGUUUCGGAUCGUAAAGCUCUGUUGUAAGAGAAGAACGGGUGUGAGAGUGGAAAGUUCACAAUGUGACGGUAUCUUACCAGAAAGGGACGGCUAACUACGUG